GGGCGUUUAACUCAGCUGGUAGAGUGUCAUCUUGACGUGGUGAAAGUCAUAGGUUCGAGUCCUAUAACGCCCACCA
rnacentral:tRNA from 1 species